rnacentral:rRNA from 1 species
ACGAACGCUGGCGGCACGCUUAACACAUGCAAGUCGAACGAGAGAAGAGGAGCUUGCUUUUCUGAUCUAGUGGCGGACGGGUGAGUAACACGUGAGCAAUCUGCCUUUCAGAGGGGGAUACCGAUUGGAAACGAUCGUUAAUACCGCAUAAUAUAAUUGAACCGCAUGAUUUGAUUAUCAAAGAUUUAUCGCUGAAAGAUGAGCUCGCGUCUGAUUAGCUAGUUGGUAAGGUAACGGCUUACCAAGGCGACGAUCAGUAGCCGGACUGAGAGGUUGAUCGGCCACAUUGGGACUGAGACACGGCCCAGACUCCUACGGGAGGCAGCAGUGGGGAAUAUUGCACAAUGGAGGAAACUCUGAUGCAGCGAUGCCGCGUGAGGGAAGAAGGUUUUAGGAUUGUAAACCUCUGUCUUCAGGGACGAAAAAAGACGGUACCUGAGGAGGAAGCUCCGGCUAACUACGUGCCAGCAGCCGCGGUAAUACGUAGGGAGCGAGCGUUGUCCGGAAUUACUGGGUGUAAAGGGAGCGUAGGCGGGAUCGCAAGUCAGAUGUGAAAACUAUGGGCUUAACCCAUAAACUGCAUUUGAAACUGUGGUUCUUGAGUGAAGUAGAGGUAAGCGGAAUUCCUAGUGUAGCGGUGAAAUGCGUAGAUAUUAGGAGGAACAUCAGUGGCGAAGGCGGCUUACUGGGCUUUAACUGACGCUGAGGCUCGAAAGCGUGGGGAGCAAACAGGAUUAGAUACCCUGGUAGUCCACGCCGUAAACGAUGAUUACUAGGUGUGGGGGACUGACCCCUUCCGUGCCGCAGCAAACGCAAUAAGUAAUCCACCUGGGGAGUACGACCGCAAGGUUGAAACUCAAAGGAAUUGACGGGGGCCCGCACAAGCAGUGGAGUAUGUGGAUUAAUUCGAAGCAACGCGAAGAACCUUACCAGGUCUUGACAUCGUAUGCAUAGCUCAGAGAUGAGUGAAAUCUCUUCGGAGACAUAUAGACAGGUGGUGCAUGGUUGUCGUCAGCUCGUGUCGUGAGAUGUUGGGUUAAGUCCCGCAACGAGCGCAACCCUUACUGUUAGUUGCUACGCAAGAGCACUCUAGCAGGACUGCCGUUGACAAAACGGAGGAAGGUGGGGAUGACGUCAAAUCAUCAUGCCCCUUAUGACCUGGGCCUCACACGUACUACAAUGGCUGUAAACAGAGGGAAGCAAAGCCGCGAGGUGGAGCGAACCCCUAAAAGCAGUCUUAGUUCGGAUUGUAGGCUGCAACCCGCCUACAUGAAGUCGGAAUUGCUAGUAAUCGCAGAUCAGCAUGCUGCGGUGAAUACGUUCCCGGGCCUUGUACACACCGCCCGUCACGCCAUGGGAGUCGGUAACACCCGAAGCCUGUAGUCUAACCGCAAGGAGGACGCAGUCGAAGGUGGGAUUGAUGACUGGGGUG